rnacentral:rRNA from 1 species
AUUGAACGCUGGCGGCGUGCUUAACACAUGCAAGUCGUGCGAGAAAGGGGGCUUCGGUCCCUGAGUAGAGCGGCGCACGGGUGAGUAACGCGUGGAUAAUCUCCCCAGAAGUUCGGGAUAACGGCGGGAAACUGCCGCUAAUACCGGAUACGCUCCAAUUUCGGUUGGGGGAAAGGCGGCCUCUGUUCACAAGCUGUCGCUUCUGGAUGAGUCCGCGUCCCAUGUAGCUUGUUGGUGGGUAAUGGCCUACCAAGGCUACGAUGGGUAGCUGGUCCGAGAGGAAGAUCAGCCCAACUGGAACUGAAACACGGUCCAGACUCCUACGGGAGGCAGCAGUGGGGAAUAUUGCGCAAUGGGGGAAACCCUGACGCAGCGACGCCGUGUGAGGGAUGAAGGCUUUCGGGUCGUAAACCUCUGUCGGGAGGGAAGAACCUUCCGGGUCUGAACAAGGCCUGGAACUGACGGUACCUCCAAAGGAAGCACCGGCUAACUCCGUGCCAGCAGCCGCGGUAAAAC